rnacentral:rRNA from 1 species
CAACCUGCCUUUCAGAGGGGGAGUAACAUUUGGAAACAGAUGCUAAUACCGCAUAAGAUUACAGUACCGCAUGAUACAGUGAUCAAAGGAGCAAUCCGCUGAAAGAUGGGCUCGCGUCCGAUUAGAUAGUUGGUGAGGUAACGGCUCACCAAGUCGACGAUCGGUAGCCGGACUGAGAGGUUGAACGGCCACAUUGGGACUGAGGCACGGCCCAG